ensembl:lncRNA CASC19 cancer susceptibility 19
AAUCCAUCUGGAGCAUUCACUGACAACAUCGACUUUGAAGUUGCACUGACCUGGCCAGCCCUGCCACUUACCAGGUUGGGCUGUGGCUUGCCUUUUCACUUCUUGUGUCCUGUUUAAGAAAUAUCUGCUAUCCCAAGCAUCUGGCAUCUUUCUUGACAUAUGUAGCAGUUGCUUUUUGACAGCUUGCUUCUUCAGUGAAUGAAUAAAUUAAUAAAGAGAAAUGUGAUGUUCAGUGAUCCAUUUUGCAGAUUGCAAACUCCUAGAGAAGGGCUCAACAGUGAGUGCUGAGGCUGCACAGAGGAGGAAGGCAGCACAAUGAUGGAAGGCUUCCUAAAGAGAUUGAGCCUCAUAUUUCAUAUCUGCCCCUGGCCUAAUGGUUGUUUACAGAAUGAGCUCAAUGAAUAUUGUUAAAUAACACUAACAAAGUUGACCUUAGAAUUGGAGUGCCUGGGUUAGAACCCUGCUGGUACCACCUGCUUACUGCAUGCUUCUGAUGUGAGUUCAGGAGAAGACACUGGCAAGGACAGCAAAGAACAGGAGAACACUCUAGCUUCCCUGAUAGCAUUCAAGGUGCUGUCCAAAAGUUUCACUCUUAUUGCCCAGGCUGGAGUGGAAUGGCGCAAUCUUGGCUCACUGCAACCUCCGUCUUUCGGGUUCAAGCAAUUCUUCUGCCUCAGCCUCCCCAGUAGCUGGGACUACAGGCAUGCACCACCAUGCCUGGCUAAUUUUGUAUUUUUAGGAGAGACGGGGUUUCACCAUGUUGGUCAGGCUGGUCUUGAACUCCUGACCUCAGUUGAUCCACCGUCUUCAGCCUCCCAAAGUGCUGGGAAUACAGGCAUGAGCCACCAUGCCCAGCCUAAUUUUUCUUACAUGAGAUACGGUUUACCAAAGUCCACCUUCCACUUCUUCCUUCGUGUAUAUAUAGAGAUAGCAUUUCCUAGCUUCUCUUGCAAUUAAUUGUGGCCAUGAGCUUUGGGCAGUGGAAUGUGAAUGGAAGUGAUGUGGCCACUCCAUAUGUGUUUCUCUGUGUCCUUUCCCCUUCUAGCUGACUGUGAUGGCACCCUCCAGACAGACAGCGAUGCCACAUGUUCAAGAUGGCAGAAUCACUAUCAGCUUCAAUUCCUGAAUGACUGCAGAGCAAAAUUUCUUACCUGCAACAUACACUCUAUUUUCAGCCUCCCUGGACUGUUACAUAAUGAUACAUAAAAAUAUUUCUUGUGUUGAGGCAUCCCAAAUUUGAUUUAUUUGUCAUCACAGUCUAUCCUAUGAAUAUAUUUCUGAUCCAAAUAA